GGGGUGGGGCCAAAAUAGGCUACGUUAAACCUGGGGGUGAUUCCCCUUUGCAGCCAGGUAGGGAAUAACUAGGUUUCCCUGGUGGUUCAGAUGGAAAAGAACCUGCCUGCAAUGUGGGAGACCUAGGUUUGAUCCUUGGGUCGGGAAGAUCCCCUGGAGGAGGGCAUGGCAACCCACUCCAAUAUUCUUGGCUGGAGAAUUCCAUAGACAGAGGAGCCUGGCAGGCUAUAGUCCAUGAGGUCGCAAAAGAGUCAGACAUGAUUGAAGUGACUUAGCACCAAUCCCAUGGAUGAUGUGAGUACAACACCUUGCACCUUGUCUGGUAUUAACUGGAUGCUGCUGCUGCUGCUAAGUCACUUCAGUCGUGUCCAACUCUGUGCGACCCCAUAGACGGCAGCCCACCAGGCUCCCCCGUCCCUGGGAUUCUCCAGGCAAGAACACUGGAGUGGGUUGCCAUUUCCUUCUCCAAUGCAUGAAAGUCAAAAGUGAAAGUGAAGUCGCUCAGUCGUAUCCGACUCUUAGCGACCCCAUGGACUGCAGCCCACCAGGCUCCUCCGUCCAUGGGAUUUUCCAGGCAGGAGUACUGGAGUGGGGUGCCAUGAGGACUCACUAAAAAGCUUGUAGAAUGAAGGACCAAUGUAAAUU
ensembl:lncRNA